UCUCCUGGAAACGGGUGGUAAUGCCGGAUGUUCCACAUGAGCGCAUGCGAGUGUGGGAAAGGCUUUUUGCGGCAUGGGAUGGGGUCGCGUCCUAUCAGCUUGUUGGUGGGGUAACGGCCUACCAAGGCGUUGACAGGUAGCCGGCCUGAGAGGGCGACCGGCCACAUUGGGACUGAGAUACGGCCCAGACUCCUACGGGAGGCAGCAGUGGGGAAUAUUGCACAAUGGGCGCAAGCCUGAUGCAGCGACGCCGCGUGCGGGAUGGAGGCCUUCGGGUUGUAAACCGCUUUUGUUCAAGGGCAAGGCACGGUUUCGGCCGUGUUGAGUGGAUUGUUCGAAUAAGCACCGGCUAACUACGUGCCAGCAGCCGCGGUAAUACGUAGGGUGCAAGCGUUAUCCGGAUUUAUUGGGCGUAAAGGGCUCGUAGGCGGUUCGUCGCGUCCGGUGUGAAAGUCCAUCGCUUAACGGUGGAUCCGCGCCGGGUACGGGCGGGCUUGAGUGCGGUAGGGGAGACUGGAAUUCCCGGUGUAACGGUGGAAUGUGUAGAUAUCGGGAAGAACACCA
rnacentral:rRNA from 1 species